UUGUAUCCUCUAAAUGAUUUGAAUGAAUUGCAUUAAUAAUUUAUUGUUUUGUUCACCGAGAUUUAUUUUACCUAUUAGAACUCAAAUUAGUAUUUAUUAUUUAUUUAUUUUUAAUAUUCACGCAUUUGAGGCAAAGCUGAUUUAUGAGAUUGAAAGUAUGUAAUAGUUAUGUGUUCAAGUAUGUAAUUAGCUUUAAAUUAAAAUACUCACUAUAUAGAAUGAAUUACAAUUUGCAUUCUAUUUAUUUACAUUCAUCAGUUUUCAAAUCUUGAAAAUAACUUUGGUAGAAGUGCAAGGUAAUAUUAUAUAUAAUAUGUCACGUGAAAAAUUGAAAUUAAAGUAUUGCCAAAAAAAAAAAAGAAUCAUUCAAGUAGAUCAUUCUUUUUUAAACCGAGGGAGUACUCUUGUGGUCAGAUCCUUUCCCCAAUCAUGCAUGUGCUGAUUGUUAGGGGCGGAUGCAUGUAUAUAGUUGCGGGUUGAUCUGAUCCAGUACUUCCAGCACAAAAGGAGAAAUUUUAGUUCAUUAAAGUUGCAAAGAAUAGUAGGUCUGAACUCAUAAUAUGAAAAUUAAUAUGAUAAAUUUUGAAGGCUGAACCUAUAAAACUUGAAUUAUGGAUCUGUAUUUGCUGGUGGGAGGUACACGGUAUCCCAUGAAAUUAGCUUAAUUGCACGCAAGCUGACCCGCCACCAUGUUUAUAAAUAAAUAAUUUUUCCCUGUAAUUUUUAUAGAAUUAAGUUGACCUGGGUAGUGUCCAAGGAUAAUCCCAAAGAAAAAUGUCUUUCAUGAAAAAUGUUUCUAAUGAUAGGUCCAAACUUGAAUGAUAUGCACGGUUGUAUCUGAGGCAUCUAGAAUUUUUGAUGUCUUGGAGGACAUCAUGGAACAUAUCUUGCUAAGUUUGCACUACAUCCAAAAGAGCCUAUAAUUUUGGCAAUCUAAAGUAGAGGGAUCAAAUGCUCAAAAGGCUUACUUCAUGGCAUGUGAGCGACGACCAUAUGUAUUUUUCAAUGGCACGGUUCAACUGAUUCGUGAUUGUGUUGGGCAUGGUUCCGGGGACCGGGGUGCAGCACACAUAUGGUUUGACAUCUUCAUACAUAUCGGAGUCCGGAGAGGAUAUAUGUCUCGAGUGGUUUAAGAUACCAUUUAGCUACAUUUUUGGCACAGGUCUUACACGGAGGCUGACAAAGCUGGAGAUGAACUAGUUAAGAACCCUGAGAAAUCAUUAUCCUCAUUACUGGUUGCUAUAAAUGAACUUUUUUUUAAAUUGGAAGCAUCAAUUGGCCACUUCCACGCAAUGCACCAGCUGAAAUAAAGUCGCGUAUUGAUACUUGAAAUCUUCUUCUGUUGACGAAAGCUAUUCUUUUCCCUUGAUCUUGGAGAAACUUCCAGUAAUAAAUCAAGACGGGUCAGGCUGGACUGAUUGCGAGAUUAAAGAUACUAUCAGUUUGAUCUAUCAAAACCUUGAUAAACAGGACACCCAUCUAUCUGCAAUGGUAAGAGCUUUCUAUCAAUUUUAUGUCCUUUGACUUCUAUCCGAUUGCUGUACAAUUUCAUCUUAAACAUGUGGAUCAGUUCUUAUUGUUUGAAAAACAUGUAUUUAGUUUCAUAUCUAUCAAAUUCUUAAUUUCGACAACUAAUUCUAUCAAAUGAACUAUACUCUAUCUGUCUGUCUGUCAUACAUUUAGUAUGCCAUAACAGUUAUGGUGGAUGAAUGCCUUCCGUGAUAGCUACUAUAAUUAUUAUAUGCGCUUCUGUAUCCAAAAAAUUGACCAAAGUUUUCGACUUUGGCAUUAAAGUUAAACUAAAAUUUUAGCUUUUCUGAAGUAAAAUCACUUUUUCAUUGGAGGCGUUUAUCUUAGCUGUGACUCGUUGAUUUGAUUUUUUAGGUCUGCAUCAACUGAAACAUGAUGAAUUUUCUUCUGUUUGUUUUCAACUCCUUGUUGAAUUAAAUUCUGGAAUAGUGAUUCUUAAUAUCUUCCGAUUCCGUUUGGGUGCCUUGGUACAGAAGGAAGUUAUAGAAAAGAAUGACACUUUGAAGAAUUUUAGGGUUAUCCUUUGGCUUUACUGAGGAAUAUAUCAAUGGAAUAGCUUUGAAAGUUGAUAAAGAUGAGGGCAAAGGGUGAAAGAAAAGUUUGAAAGAGGUGGUGAUGCAGAAAAACAAGAAAGAUUAGUAAGAUGAAAAGCUUGAUUAGUUAUUGUACUCAGCAAAUAACACAUGUAUUUGCAAAGGAUUGUUGUUGUUUGUUGAAUUCAUCCCAGUUCAAAUUGGUGGCUGUUUCGGCAGGCUACCUUUUCUAUAUUAUUUACUUUUCCUCUGUGUGGUUGUAGGUUGUGUGCAAUUGUACAUGUGCGGUGCGCACACAUAUAUUGAGGUGGGGGUGGGGAGGGAGCGGGCUUGCUUUGUAUGCAGCCAUCCUCCGUCUUUGCUUCUUGCCUUAUUUGAGACUACUAAGGCAGGUAGUAGACUCUUUCAUAUUAAAUAAGAGAAGAAGGGGUUAAAGUGAUUUCAUAUAUAAAGAUUUGGGCUUCUCAGUUUAGAUUGAAAGGGAAUCCCCUGAAAACCAAAAGGAAAUUUAGUAGGUUGGCUAGAUUUCAUGAAGAAAUUAAGCCAUGACAGUUAAUGAGUAAAAGAGUGAUAAGUAUGUGUGGUUUCUUAAUAUUUUGGGAUUUUUAUAGCCACCUGAUUCCAGAAAAUACAAAUAUUUGGAAAGGCAAUAUGUCCUAUUGUGGUAUUUCUGUUUCUCUGAAGGGCUUAGAUUCUUGUAAGCCGUCCACUUCUGUAGGUUACCAUUCACAGGAAGCCCAAGAAGGCUGCUCUUUACUGGAUGCACUAUACCUGUGGGAUUGUUGGCAUCUCUGUGUGUUCAUUGUGGCUUCUUAAACACAGCAGUUUAGUAGGAAGCUCUGACAUUGACUACUGGAUUCGUGAAGCAAAGGAGUCAACAGUUAGCUUUUGGAAUGACCAUGUAGAGCUACCGGUAAGCUGCUUCUAGUUUCUAUUUUUGUCUUGGUAUAGUAUCUCGUUAGACAACCAUUAUGUUUAUAUCCCUUCUUUCUCAUACAAAGUGCGUAUACACUUAACAAAAAACUUCUUCUUUGAACAGUAAAGAAAGAAACAAAUAAAAAAA